CCUACGGGAGGCAGCAGUGGGGAAUCUUGCACAAUGGGCGAAAGCCUGAUGCAGCGACGCCGCGUGAGGGAUGAAGGCCUUCGGGUCGUAAACCUCUUUCGGCAGGGACGCGGUACCUGCAGAAGAAGCCUCGGCUAACUACGUGCCAGCAGCCGCGGUAAGACGUAGGAGGCGAGCGUUGUCCGGAUUCAUUGGGCGUAAAGAGCGCGCAGGCGGCUUGGUAAGUCGGAUGUGAAAUCCCGAGGCUCAACCUCGGGUCUGCAUCCGAUACUGCCCGGCUAGAGGUAGGUAGGGGAGAUCGGAAUUCCUGGUGUAGCGGUGAAAUGCGCAGAUAUCAGGAGGAACACCGGUGGCGAAGGCGGAUCUCUGGGCCUUCCUGACGCUCAGGCGCGAAAGCUAGGGGAGCGAACUGGAUUAGAUACCCUUGUAGUC
rnacentral:rRNA from 1 species